UACGUAGGGUGCGAGCGUUAAUCGGAAUUACUGGGCGUAAAGGGCGCGUAGGCGGCGGUCCAAGUCGAGUGUGAAAGCCCCGGGCUCAACCUGGGAGGUGCGCUCGAGACUGGUUCGCUGGAGUUCGGGAGAGGAGCGUGGAAUUCCCAGUGUAGAGGUGAAAUUCGUAGAUAUUGGGAAGAACACCGGUGGCGAAGGCGGCGCUCUGGACCGAGACUGACGCUGAGGCGCGAAGGCGUGGGGAGCAAACAGG
rnacentral:rRNA from 1 species